UACAAAUCUGCUGCACUGUAAAACUUGCCUGGCAUUGUUCUGUGUGGGAUUGUUUAGUUUCUCAUAACAUUUUGGUAGUUAUAAAGCUCAGACUAGCACUGGCAGUGAUCAGCAGUGAUACGAGGUAAAGAAGUUAUUAUGGGGCAAAUUUAUGUAGUUAAGAAGAGAAGAAAUUACUCAAUGACCUAUAAGAGUAGGGUUGAAAUGAUUCCUCCAGUAACUUGAGGAAUUUUAUUUUUUUUUGCUUUAUGUCCGACCGACUUGCAGGUUGUAAAUUUGCGUUAAGACCGACCUUUUUUUUACUAAUACAAAAACAAGCAAGUAAUACAAAAGCAAUAAAAGAAUACUAACGGGUUCGGGCGCCAUAAUAUAUCUAAAAAAGUCAUUAAAGCAGCUCGACACCACUUUAACUUGGCACAAAGUUUUGGAAAAACUGCCCAGCAUCAACAUGAGGUUUGCAAUGAUGCACCCGAAGACACGGGUUGAAGACCCAGUCAGUGACGUCACCAUAUGCUAAUUUGUUUAAAGUCAUACCUACGUAAUCAUCACCAACAAAAUUUUACUUUUUUUUUUUACAUUGAACCUUGAAAAAAAAUAUAUAGACCUACCUACCUUUUUAUUUUUUAUGGUGAACAUAAGGAUGGCCUUAUAUUCACACAUGGAGGUCUAUAGUUUUACACAUAGUGAUGCUGAAACAAAAUGCUCAGUAAGCUGCAGUUCUGCAGGGAGAAACACUUUGCUGUGGAGAGACUUCUGGCUGACAGGAAGUGCAGUGUUAACUACUGAGGUAAGAACAGGAAUUCCAGGCUCACAGACCCACUGGACAAGGGAAGAACAGGAAUAGACCUGACAACACUUUUCUUGAGCUGCUGACUCAUGAUUUACCUAAAUGAAUAAUAAAGCGGCCAGCAAAUGAAUCCAAUUAUGGUUAUGUACAACAGCACUAAACAAUAAAUCAUCAUACAUUCUAUUUUAUUACUGCACAUUCUAUUGUUUAAAGUUUGUGUAUUUUCUAUUCC